AGCAUUCUGUAUCCAUACAGAGAUUUCCUCAGGCACCAACCCAUUACGGCUGAUCAAACUUCCAAGAUAAGUGAAGUU
rfam:Schistosoma haematobium scaffold1288_8, whole genome shotgun sequence.